ACCAGACUCCUACGGGAGGCAGCAGUGGGGGAUAUUGCACAAUGGGGGGAACCCUGAUGCAGCGACGCCGCGUGGGUGAAGAAGCGCCUCGGCGCGUAAAGCCCUGUCAGCAGGGAAGAAAAUGACGGUACCUGAAGAAGAAGCCCCGGCUAACUACGUGCCAGCAGCCGCGGUAAUACGUAGGGGGCAAGCGUUAUCCGGAUUUACUGGGUGUAAAGGGGGCGCAGACGGCGAUGCAAGCCAGGAGUGAAAGCCCGGGGCCCAACCCCGGGACUGCUCUUGGAACUGCGUGGCUGGAGUGCAGGAGGGGCAGGCGGAAUUCCUGGUGUAGCGGUGAAAUGCGUAGAUAUCAGGAGGAACGCCGGUGGCGAAGGCGGCCUGCUGGACUGCAACUGACGUUGAGGCCCGAAAGCGUGGGGAGCAAACAGGAUUAGAUACCCGUGUA
rnacentral:rRNA from 1 species